rnacentral:rRNA from 1 species
CCUACGGGAGGCAGCAGUGGGGGAUAUUGCACAAUGGGGGGAACCCUGAUGCAGCGACGCCGCGUGGGUGAAGACGCGCCUCGGCGCGUAAAGCCCUGUCAGCAGGGAAGAAAAUGACGGUACCUGAAGAAGAAGCCCCGGCUAACUACGUGCCAGCACCCGCGGGAAGACGUAGGGGGCAAGCGUUAUCCGGAUUUACUGGGUGUAAGGGGGGCGCAGGCGGCGAUGAAAGCCAGGAGUGAACGUCCGGGGCCCAACCCCGGGACUGCUCUUGGAACUGGGUGGCUGGAGUGCAGGAGGGGCAGGCGGAAUUCCUGGUGUAGCGGUGAAAUGCGUAGAUAGCAGGAGGAACACCGGUGGCGAAGGCGGCCUGCUGGACUGCAACUGACGUUGAGGCCCGAAAGCGUGGGGAGCAAACAGGAUUAGAUACCCCUGUAGUC